AUGGGAAUUCCUUCUAAAGGUAAAAGACUGUCUGUUCUCAUGGCGGUGGCAUGUGUGGCAUCAUGGUGCACUGGAGCUAUAUUUGGAGCAGUGCCAGUAGCCUUUGACUGGAUAAGGUAUGAUCCAGCAGAAAUGCUGUGUGCAGUGUUCUGGGAAAGCAGUUACUCUGACAUGCUGGUUUACAUCCUCUGUGCCUUCUCCAUCUCCAUCUUCGUCCCAUUUCUACUCAUACUCUCCUGCUCCAUCCUGAACUGUGUAGGCUUUGGAAAAGAUGGUUCCAGCCAGGGUGACCUGUCUUCUAUCACGCCACUGCUGGUGAUCUUGUAUCUGUUCUGCUAUGCUCCAUUUGCUGCAUCUGAGUUGGUUCUCCUUGCAAGGCUUGAUCUUACCCCAUCCCCUGAAUGGCUGCGAUCACUGUCAUCAGUAAUGGCAUAUCUGGACUGUGUUUUAAACCCCUUUAUCUACUGCACUAAUAAAAACUUCCGAAAAGCAGUACUCAUACUGUUUUGGAACAAAAGGAGAUCAACUUUUCCCGAUCCAGUGCUGACCGGCAUUACAAGCCUCGAAAUAUGAAGCUUUAAGAUAAAGAUGAUUAAAAAGGUUUGUGUUUUUUUUCUUGUGCGACAGAUUUUGUAACGCAUCUCAUCAUGAUUUUAAUAGGAAGAAAUGACAGUGUCUCAUGACUAGAUGUGUGCUGAGAUACAAAUAUUGUAGUGUAGGUAAAGGCAGACAUGCAGCUUAUAAUAAAUCUGAUAGAUGUUUUUGUUCA
ensembl:lncRNA